AUCACGCUAGGUCAGCCAUGAGCUCAAGGUUAAAUGCUAAGUCAGCCUCAAGCAAAACAGUGACAUUCCACAGCACAGAGGAGAUGCUAGGCAAGACAGCAAUGUGGACGAUGAGUGCAGUUCCGGAAUCCAAGGUUGUAUCUGAUUCUUCCGCUGUUUGAAAAGAUGCUGUUUCAAUGAUUUACAUGCAGACUUCCUCUUCUUUGGGAUUUUUUACUGACGAGAGAAGGGAACCUCUGUGUAUUGGUUGCCACUGUGCCAGGAGGCCAGCUGCAUUGGGCACCUUCCCAGUAGCCGUGCUGCACAGCAGUUUUCUUCUCACGCUAGCAGCCUGGGAUCUUCCUGACCUCUGGCUCGCCCACAAGAAGCUCAUGAUGACAUUGUUUUCAGAAGCCGAUACUGUAUCCUCCUGUCUCUACUUGCAAGAAAAUAACUGGGCUCCCAUAUAUUUACAGAGCAAUUAUCACAACAGUCUGGUUUUAGAAGAUUGCCACAACCCCCAAAAGAUGUUUCACACCCAUUUGUGGUAACAAGGAGACUUUAGCUGAGGAGCUGGGAAAGAUUCCCGCAUUCCUUCUGGCUGGGCCUCUGCAGUGAUGUUGGAAAGAGCCUGGAGCCACGAGGGGCCACGUGGAGAACUGAGACUGAAACAGUAACUGCAGAAGGAGGAUCCAGGAGGUAGAGAAAACGAGUCCUGAAGUCAAGAGUGGAGACUCUGAUCAAACCAGACCUGAAGCCUGUGCUUCCCUUGGACUUUUCAGCUGCAGGGGCUAAGAAGUUCCCUUGUGUCUUAAGCCAGUUUGACGUGGGGCUUUCAAUCUCCUGCUACAGGAAUAAUUUCAGACUCUAAUGAGUCUGAUGCCUUGCUGAAACCUUUGUGAACUGAGUUGACAAAGGCCCAUGUUCAGAUCUGUUGUAAUUACAGAAUUAUUUUACACACGGCCAUAGAGCCGUUUAACAAAUGAGAAUUCAGCCCUGCUGGGAAAAUUGCUUUCCCAGGACACAUGGCAGCAUCUGAACAAAGCCUCCGCUCUGUGUACUGCUGGAUUCGAUCUCGUCUCUCUGCCUCCAGUUAUCAUCAUCAUCAUUGCCAUUAUCUCUCAUAAGAUGUUUAAUAUGAAACAGACCUUAUUUAAGUAUUUUGCAAACAUUAAGUCACAUAAUCUUUACAACCAACCACUCUACGGGUAACUUCUGUUAUUAUUCCCAUUUUACAGAUGAGAAAACUGAAGUCUAGAGAGACUAAGCAACUUGUCCAAGGUCUUAUAGCUUAGCACAGCGGGGCAGGACUUGGACGCGGGUCCACCGUCCGCAGGGGCCAUGUAAAUGGCCUUCCUGUAAAUUCUCACCAACGUCACGGCAGCUUUUAAUCCCCAUUGCGCUGGUCUUUUAUUCAGAGGCACUGCCUUUCUCUGAACUUUUAGUUCAUUAUAAAAAUAGAAAACAAGCAAAAGCCCCAAACAUAUUCAAUAGUCUCUUCAAUAACAUAAAACAGUUUUUAAUCUAGCCAAUUUCCAGGAGUCAUAAACUCUCAUGGUUUUUACGGCUUUGUCCUGCGCUUCUCAACACACAGUGCAGAUAAGGAUGAUUCAUGGCAAAAGCCUUGUUUUAUGCCUUCUCGUCAU